CCAGAAGCUCUGGUUUUGUUUUGUUUUGUUUUGUUUUUUUGUUUUUUUAAUCAUUUUCAGAUGUUAUCCAGAAAUCUGCAAGUGUACUUUUCCUGUUUUAACUCCUUCCUUUUAUCACCUGACUAUCAGGGAAGCGAGGUUGAGGCUGCCCUGACCUGACAUGUCAUGAUGUCGACUUGCUAGGUGGGGUUCGCUGGGGACGAUAACCAGUGGAAUUGUUGGUAGCCCUAAUACAGUGGUUUUUCUUAUGACUUAUUUUUCUUGAGGGUGUACUUCGUUUCUCACCAGUCAAAAACAUAGAAGUUCUGCAACUCAGAAUGGAAAUUCACUUGAAGUAAUGUGUGAUUCCUCUGUAAUCAGUGCCGUUAAUAGCAAAAAAUAUUUAAAAGGAAGAUGAUUGGGACCUAAUAGUCUAUAAACAAAUUGAGUAAGAAAGCAUUUAAGAAGGACUAGUAAUGUAUUCUGCCUUGUUUCUUUCAAAUGAAGACUGUUAAACUGAGUUACGGGGAAGAAAAAGUGAAUACCCUAUUGUUUCAAGGUAAUAAAGAGUAGACAGUA
rnacentral:sRNA from 1 species